rnacentral:rRNA from 1 species
CCUACGGGAGGCAGCAGUGAGGAAUAUUGGUCAAUGGGCGUAAGCCUGAACCAGCCAAGUCGCGUGAGGGAUGAAGGUUCUAUGGAUCGUAAACUUCUUUUAUAAGGGAAUAAAGUGCGGGACGUGUCCCGUUUUGUAUGUACUUUAUGAUUAAGGAUCGGCUAACUCCGUGCCAGCAGCCGCGGUAAUACGGAGGAUCCGAGCGUUAUCCGGAUUUAUUGGGUUUAAAGGGUGCGUAGGCGGCCUUUUAAGUCAGCUGUGAAAGUCUGUGGCUCAACCAUAGAAUUGCCAUUGAUACUGGGAGGCUUGAGUAUAUUUGAGGCAGGCGGAAUGCGUGGUGUAGCGGUGAAAUGCUUAGAUAUCACGCAGAACCCCGAUUGCGAAGGCAGCCUACCAAGCCAUGACUGACGCUGAUGCACGAAAGCGUGGGGAUCAAACAGGAUUAGAUACCCGAGUAGUC